UUUCAAACAAACAAAUGGUUAAAGGCUCAAAUGGGGUUAACAAUGGAUAAUAAUAAAAGGAUGGCUAGAAAGGCUCAGGGGUAGAAAAAAUGUGCCUUAGUGUAUGUAAUCAUGCACCCGAAAUCAGAAAAGAACGUAUGCAAGUUCUGAAUGAUAAAAACAUACUUGAGUGCUCUCUUAUGAUGUACAUUGUGUUUGGGGUAGAGCUGACAACCUCCACAGUACCUCUUGCU
rnacentral:lncRNA from 1 species